rnacentral:rRNA from 1 species
UACGUAGGGGGCAAGCGUUAGGCGGAAUCACUGGGCUUAAAGCGUGUGUAGGCGGAUCGUUAAGUACCUUGUGAAAUCCCACGGCUCAACCGUGGAACUGCUGGGUAUACUGGCGGUCUUGAGCCACCUAGGGGCAACUGGAACAAGCGGUGGAGCGGUGAAAUGCGUAGAUAUCGCUUGGAACGCCAACGGUGAAAACAGGUUGCUGGGGGGUGUGCUGACGCUGAGACACGAAAGCCAGGGGAGCGAACGGG